rnacentral:rRNA from 1 species
UCGGGAAUUUUGGGCAAUGGGCGAAAGCCUGACCCAGCAACGCCGCGUGAAGGAUGAAGUAUUUCGGUAUGUAAACUUCGUAAGAAUAGGAAGAAUAAAUGACGGUACUAUUUGUAAGGUCCGGCUAACUACGUGCCAGCAGCCGCGGUAAUACGUAGGUGGCAAGCGUUGUCCGGAUUUAUUGGGUUUAAAGGGUGCGUAGGCGGCCCUGUAAGUCAGUGCUGAAAUAUCCCGGCUUAACCGGGAGGGUGGCAUUGAUACUGCAGGGCUUGAGUACAGAUGAAGUAGGCGGAAUUGACGGUGUAGCGGUGAAAUGCAUAGAUAUCGUCAAGAACACCGAUAGCGAAGGCAGCUUACUAAGCUGUAACUGACGCUGAGGCACGAAAGUGUGGGGAUCAAACAGGAUUAGAUACCCCCGUAGUCCCUGAGCGGGCUGGCAAGGCGCAU